rnacentral:rRNA from 1 species
UACGUAGGGGCCUAGCGUUGUCCGGAUUUAUUGGGCGUAAAGAGCCCGUAGGCGGUUUGGUAAGUCGGGUGUGAAAUCUCCACGCUCAACGUGGAGGGGCCACCCGAUACUGCCAUGACUGGAGUCCGGUAGGGGAGUGUGGAAUUCCCGGUGUAGCGGUGAAAUGCGUAGAUAUCUGGAGGAACACCGGUGGCGAAGGCGGCAUCCUGGACCAACACUGACGCUGAGGAGCGAAAGCCAGGGGAGCAAACGGG